rnacentral:sRNA from 1 species
UGAGCUAUUUCUCUCCAAACAUUGCAAUUAGAACCGAUUUCUUGUCUUGAAUGGCCCGGAAUGACAAUUCUACAUUGCUCCAUGCUUCACACAUGCAGGCUUAUCGGCCAUUAUGUCAUCUCUGCUAUCAAAGGAUUGAUUUAACAGUUCCGACAGAAGCUAUUGAAGAAGAGGAGACCCUUUCUGUGUUUGUAUCCUCUUUUCAAUGCUAUGCAUAAUUGAGCCAGAGAGAUUGUUUUCUGUGUUAAUGAAUUAUGCUUUUCUAAUUUGAGGCAAUUUUUCACUGCUGAUGGGAUGCCUUUCUAGGUUGGAAAAUUCUGAGCUAAUUGAUUUUCCAAUCAUGGAUUUUUUUAAGGAUAAUAUGUUAUCACAUUUUUGUAUUGUGUGCACAACUGUCUAAAUGUGUUGGAACACUAAAGGAAAGCCAUGAUUAGGCCGUGUUUAUUAGUGAAGUGUGCAAUAGUUUCCUGGCACUGACAUGCCAGUAACAACAACCACCUCAAAACAAAAUGGAAUCUUUAAAUUCCUUUUUCUAAAAAUAAUUGAUAUUCUGCUUUAUCACAUAUUUCAGGAGUUUGUUAUUAUAGAUGUUGAGCAAUCAAUAAUGUAUGCUAACCACCUAAAUAUAUACUUACAGACCAGUGAGACCAUGAUUCACUCUAGGAGCAUUGUCAUUAACUGCAUUCUCUUAGCUUUUAAAUACCGAUACCUUGAAUUGAUCAUGCCAGGAAUGGAUUUGUUCAAAUAAUAUUACAUAACAAACAGUUAAGACACUAAUUGCCUAUAUAUUUCAUACUAGGUAACUUCUUAAUUGAGAAAUUCAAAAAUUAAAUCUAAAUUGUUUCCAGACAAAAUUCUCAUUUGUUGACAUAUAGUCAUUUAGAUUAGCUCAUUUGAUUCUCUUAAAUCUGUUUUAAAAAGUAUUAGGGAUUUGCAUGCAGAAAGGCCACUGCAUGUAUUAACAAUUAAGCCAGUGAAAUAUCAUCAGGAAACUUAAUUUUGCAGUACAUGUAUUGAUGACAAAGCAAUGAAUGUGAUUAUACUGAUAAAGUUAUAUUUGU